rnacentral:rRNA from 1 species
CACUCUAGAGAGACUGCCAGGGAUAACCUGGAGGAAGGUGGGGAUGACGUCAAAUCAUCAUGCCCCUUAUGCUUAGGGCUACACACGUGCUACAAGGGGUAGUACAGAGGGUUGCCAAGCCGUAAGGUGGAGCUAAUCCCUUAAAGCUACUCUCAGUUCGGAUUGUAGGCUGAAACUCGCCUACAUGAAGCUGGAGUUACUAGUAAUCGCAGAUCAGAAUGCUGCGGGGAAUGCGUUCCCGGGUCUUGUACACACCGCCCGUCACACCACGGGAGGUGGAGACGCCCGAAGCCGAUUAUCUAACCUUUUGGAAGAAGUCGUCGAAGGUGGAAUCAAUAACUGGGGUGAAGUCGUAACAAGGUAGCCGUAUCGGAAGGUGCGGCUGGAUCACCUCCUUUCUAAG